CAGAAAUUCAAGCCACCAGAUGCUUUCCAACUAAUAAGGACCAAGUGGGGCCGUCCUAAGGUGUCCUAAACGAUUUCGGGACAGGGGAAAAGUACACUAAGAGAAUUAUAUCACAAAGCGUCCAAGACCAGACCUCAAGUACACACUGCCGGUUUCUUGGACCUCGGCCUUCCGUACAAGAGGUGGCGAUGCAGUUCCAGGAUUUUCUGCUUGGUCUUUCUGCUAAAUUGGCAGGUCAAAGAGAUGCACAUUUGGAUAUUGCUGAAAUGAUCAGAAGAUAGAAUCUGUAGAUCUGUAAGAAAAGCUGCCACUCGGCUUUUGACAGUUAAGUGCUGCCUUGGCUUUCCAGAGGAACAUGACGGAAGCAAGAUUCCCAGACCUGUUUCUCUUGCCUUGUCCCACUCCAUCGCUGUGACACUACAAUGGUUAUCAAUUUUACAAUCCUGGUAUUGUCGAGCAAUAAAGAGGUCUGUCCAGUA